rnacentral:rRNA from 1 species
AUGCACUUUGUUAAGAUUUUCAGAAAGGACUUGAGAUGGAGCCCUGUGUUUAGCAAGCUAAAAACUGUCUUGCUCAAUGGUUGGUGUCUGAGUGCAAACUUCGCUGGACUACUUUACUUUCUUCAGCACACACCAGUUCUUGAAAAGCUUACCCUUCAACUUCCAUCUCGCGAGGAUUUGGACACUGGACCAAGUGGAAGCUACAACCCAGCAGAAUAUUUCUUGGUGUCAAAGCAUCUGAAGGUAGUUGAAAUCCAUUGUAACGAGGAGGAUGAAUGGAUUAAUCAAAUUGUGAACACCCUUGGUAUUCAUGGAGUAACUUCUGCGCAAAUUAGCAUCAAACAUGAUUCUUGGAGUUCUUUCAGGUUCAGUUUCCAGCAGCCGAAGUAG